UUUUGUUUCUAAAGUAUAACUUUUUACGCCACACAUGCGAGAUGCGACAUGGCCCGCCAGUCUAGGUGCGCAAAAUUUUUGCACGUGGUCCGAGAACUUUGCUCAACGCUGCUCUAGUUCAUAUUUUAAGCUUUGUUGAGGAAUAAAUUACUGAUUUUUGAAUAAUAUCUAUUUUGUUUUAAAAUUCAAUAGAAUUAUAUUGGGUAAUCAUAUAUAUUAAUAUGAUUUAUUUUCAGUAUGUAUACUAUGUAAGCUUACCCAACCAACCUUAAUUAAGGGUUAUUAUAUUUUAAAGUGAAUUAGAAGGUAGACCGCUAGCAAAAAAGAUUCGGGCGAUUGGGGGGAAGCCCAUCUCUGUACAAUGACUGCCAAAUGUGCAUGCAACUGUGCAAUGCCCAGCGACUCUAAAAGCAUGAAGUAUUGCCCUAUGACAAUGGACUGGAAAAUUCACCUGCUUCAAUUCCCUCUUUCACGCAAUCAUACACUGUGUCAUUUCAAGCAUCUCAAUGUUUCAAUGCGGACAUUGCCCAAAACAGAUAAGAUAUUUGCGAAGUCUUGGAGAUUGCUCCAAGAAAGACUGGAUUGGAGAAUCAUGAGCUCAGUUAUAACAAAUUUACUCGCCCGCUCUUCCAACUGUGCAGGACGCGGUGGAUAAGAAGGAGUGAGUGGGACGCCCUUAGUUUUUUGCUAUUAAAGGUACCGCUCUGGAUGAUCUGGCAACGAACUCCGAUUAAUUUUAUUACAUGUAUACAUAUUUGUAAAAUAAAGACAUUUUGUUAUCUUUUGUUUUUUAUUAUAUACAUAAUGUUAGAUUAGUGGGAAAUUUCUAUGUAGUAUAGAUCCAUACCCUGU